UGGGGUGCAGCUCAGUGGCAGAGUGCUUGUCUGGCACGCGGGAAGCCCUGGGUUCCAACCCCCAGCACUGCAA
rfam:Ictidomys tridecemlineatus contig033659, whole genome shotgun sequence.